UACUUUAGCCUAGUUAGAGGAACCUGUUCUAUAAACGAUACUCCACGUAAAAUCUUUCUUACUUUUGUUUAGCCAGUAUACCUUCAUUAUUAGGUAAUUUAUAGAUAAAAAUUACUGCAAUAAAGUUGUUAUCUUUAGGAUAUUAGAUCACGGUGCUGCUAAUGAGUAAGUAGAAAUGGGUUACAAUAAAAUUAAUUUAUGGCGGAGUUAAUAAGGAAUGCUUGUUAAUAAAGAUGGAUUUAAUUGUAAUGAACUAUUUAAUAAGAGUUUUUGAUAUAAGCACUAAAGUGUGUACAUAU
rnacentral:rRNA from 1 species